rnacentral:rRNA from 1 species
GUGAGUCCGGGGCGGGCAGCCGCGGUAAUAGGGGGGGUCCGGACGGUAUCCGGAAUCAUUGGGUUUAAAGGGUGCGCAGGCGGUAAAUUAGGUCAGUGGUGAAAUCCUGCAGCUCAACUGCAGAACUGCCAUUGAUACUGCGAUACUAGAAUGUAGUCGAAGUGGGCGGAAUGUGACAUGUAGCGGUGAAAUGCUUAGAUAUGUCACAGAACACCGAUAGCGAAGGCAGCUCACUAGACUAAUAUUGACGCUCAUGCACGAAAGCGUGGGGAGCGAACAGGAUUAGAUACCCCUGUAGUC